AAUUAAUAAUUUAGGACUUAAGACUCAGGAAGAGAAAAACCAUAGAUUUGAAAUUUGAAGUUGAUAUUCAAACAUGGUUGAAGGAUCAAAAUGACACGAAAAAUGAUAAAUGACUAAAUCAUUACCUUAAAUUAUAGUAAGGGAUCGCAAGAGUAAUUUUGUUUAAUUUUAAAGUUGAAUUUUAUUGUCAUUUUUUGUUCUGGAUCGGUCAGAAGAUCAAUCGUACGUCAACACGUGGCAUAACUUACACCGCCUUAAGGCCCGCGUCUGAAGGAGCACGCCAGCUUCAGUGCACCGUGCCACAUAGAGGCACGUCUCCGCGCGACAAUCACCCUACACGUGCCUCUACCGCUCCUAAUCACACACCACGUAACCCGGAGACGGUUAUGUUCAACGUGCGCCUAUAUAAGGAUGAACUUGCUUCACGCUCAAGAGACUCAACGUUGCCGUACCGAAAGUCGUUACCGUCACACCAGAGCAUUAUCCGUCACCGUUGCCACUCAUCCGUUCUCACAAAACAUAUCAUUUUUAAUUAUUUUAUGUGUUGAUUUUUUUUAUUUUUAUUAUAUUGUGUGAAUUUAUAAUGAGGUAAGGUAAAUCAAAUGUCUUAGUCCCCAUGAGAUUAGCUUGGGAUAAUGCAUAUAUAUGCAGUGGUCGAUGUCCGAAUCCCGGAUGUCCCACUUAUUCA